UACAUGGGGUGCAAACGUUUGCUCGGAAUUAUUGGGCGUAAAGCGCGCGUAGGCGGUUACUUAAGUCGGAUGUGAAAGCCCUCGGCUUAACUGAGGAAGUGCACCCGAAACUGAGUAGCUAGAGUACGAAAGAGGGUCGCGGAAUUCCCGGUGUAGAGGUGAAAAUUCGUAGAUAUCGGGAGGAACACCGGUGGCGAAGGCGGCGACCUGGGUCGAGACUGACGCUGAGGCGCGAAAAGCGUGGGGGAGCAAACAGG
rnacentral:rRNA from 1 species